CAGUCGCCACGGUAAUACGUAGGGUGCAGGCGUUAAUCGGAAUUACUGGGCGUAAAGCGUGCGCAGGCGGUUAUAUAAGUCAGAUGUGAAAUCCCCGGGCUCAACCUGGGAACUGCAUUUGAGACUGUAUGGCUAGAGUGUGUCAGAGGGGGGUAGAAUUCCACGUGUAGCAGUGAAAUGCGUAGAUAUGUGGAGGAAUACCGAUGGCGAAGGCAGCCCCCUGGGAUAACACUGACGCUCAUGCACGAAAGCGUGGGGAGCAAACAGGAUUAGAUACCCCCGUAGUCCCUGUCUCUUAUAC
rnacentral:rRNA from 1 species